GCGAGAGUGGUGAAAUUGGUAGACACGCCAGAUUUAGGAUCUGGUGCCCGAAACGGCUUGGGGGUUCGAGUCCCCCCUCUCGCACUA
rnacentral:tRNA from 1 species